AUGCUGGUAUGUGCUUUGGAAUCACUUAAAUCAUACACGUGCGCAUUCUGCUGUCUUCUCUAUGCAGGAGAGACAGGAAGAGAGGAAGAGUUAAGAUUCUGUUUUGACAGUACAGGGGAGAGAGUAUGAAUAUCUUCCCCCCUCUUCCUUCCCCGUCAGCAAUAAUGACUCAUUCCACCAUCAUUUAGCACUUACUCCAUUCUGCUCAAAUUACUGUUAGCUGUUAACACAUCUGUCUCCCUUUGUCAUUAAUUUAUUCAUUCAGCUGACAAUUACUGAAAGUCUCGAAAGCGUCAGCCGCAGGGAGGGGGUGAUAGGAGGGAGUUAACCAAUAAAAAUGAGUGAACUGGGCUUCUUUCCUCCCAUAGCGUAGAACCUCAUCAGGGAGAAAGACAGAUCUCUAACAAUGUGGUCUCAUUUGGUCCUGUGCCUCCAGGGCCUGGGUUCUGAUAAAAAUGGCAGCACUGGAGCUGAGCAAGGUGAGAAGGUGGGGCCAGCCUGGGGUGGAGCCAACCUCAGGAAAGAAGGAAUUCCUCUGGAGUCAACCAGCCUCCCCGAAUAAAAGAGACUCAGAGAGGCUGGGUGGGGCACCCUGAAACCAAAGAGGAAAACUCCCUCCAGAGAGCAGAGCUCUGUGUACAGGCCACGACUGGCCUUCCCUGGUUGGGAAGUUCCCAUGGCUCCUGGCAGCUCGGUGCCGCGUGGACUUUUGCCCUCUUUUGUCCACUUCAAUUUCACCAGAGGCAUAAGCUGACACCUGUGGGACUCCUAAAAGGGCUCACGUGCUGGCUUUCAGAGCCUGGGAGUCAGAGGGGAGAAACUGAAGACUGAGGACUGGUUUCUCAGAGACCUCCAGAGGAGAGGACCUCGGGGGUAGUAUUGAUGCACUGGCCAAAGCUCUUCUGAGGACUUCCCUAGUGGUGCAGGGGAUAAGAAUCUGCCUACCAAUAGAGGGGGCAUGGGUUCAAUCCCUGGUCCGGGAAGAUUCCACAUAUUGCGGAGCAACUAAAGCCUGUGUGCCCCAACUACUGAACCCAUGCUCUACAGCCUGCACGCUGCGACUACUGAGCCUGUGUGUUACCUAGAGUCUGUGCCCUGCAGCAAGAGAAGCCACCGCCAGGAGAAGGCCAUGCACCACAAUGAAGAAUAGCCCCACCUCACGGCAACUAGGGAAAGCCUGCACACCGCAACCAAGACCCACUG
ensembl:lncRNA